rnacentral:rRNA from 1 species
GGGGGACAACCCGCCGAAAGGCGGGCUAAACCCGCGUACAUGCCACCGGGGCAUCCCGGAGGCAGGAAAGGCUUCGGCCGGACAGGGAUGGGCAUGCGGCGCAUUAGGCAGUAGGCGGGGUAACGGCCCACCUAACCGACGAUGCGUAGGGGUUCUGAGAGGAAGGUCCCCCACACUGGUACUGAGACACGGACCAGACUCCUACGGGAGGCAGCAGUGAGGAAUAUUGGUCAAUGGUCGGGAGACUGAACCAGCCAAGCCGCGUGAGGGAUGAAGGUACAGAGUAUCGUAAACCUCUUUUGUCGGGGAACAAAGGCGGGGACGUGUCCCCGGAUGAGUGUACCUGAAGAAAAAGCAUCGGCUAACUCCGUGCCAGCAGCCGCGGUAAUACGGAGGAUGCGAGCGUUAUCCGGAUUUAUUGGGUUUAAAGGGUGCGCAGGCGGUCUGUUAAGUCAGCGGUCAAAGCCCGGGGCUCAACCCCGGCCCGCCGUUGAAACUGGCAGUCUCGAGUUGGAGAGAAGUAUGCGGAAUGCGCGGUGUAGCGGUGAAAUGCAUAGAUAUCGCGCAGAACUCCGAUUGCGAAGGCAGCAUGCCGGCUCCACACUGACGCUGAGGCACGAAAGCGUGGGUAUCGAACAGGAUUAGAUACCCUGGUAGUCCACGCAGUAAAC